rnacentral:rRNA from 1 species
AGAGGGAAACAACCCAGACUACCAGCUAAGGUCCCUAAAUCUUACUUAAGUGGAAAACGAUGUGAAGUUACUUAAACAACCAGGAGGUUGGCUUAGAAGCAGCCAUCCUUUAAAGAAAGCGUAAUAGCUCACUGGUCUAGUGAUUUUGCGCGGAAAAUAUAACGGGGCUAAAGUAAGUACCGAAGCUGUAGACUUAGUUUACUAAGUGGUAGGAGAGCGUUCUAUUUGCGUCGAAGGUAUACCGGUAAGGAGUGCUGGAGCGAAUAGAAGUGAGCAUGCAGGCAUGAGUAGCGAUAAUUAAUGUGAGAAUCAUUAACGCCGUAAACCCAAGGUUUCCUACGCGAUGCUCGUCAUCGUAGGGUUAGUCGGGUCCUAAGUCGAGUCCGAAAGGGGUAGACGAUGGCAAAUUGGUUAAUAUUCCAAUACCAACAUUAGUGUGCGAUGGAAGGACGCUUAGGGCUAAGGGGGCUAGCGGAUGGAAGUGCUAGUCUAAGGUCGUAGGAGGUUAUACAGGCAAAUCCGUAUAACAAUACUCCGAGAACUGAAAGGCUUUUUGAAGUCUUCGGAUGGAUAGAAGAACCCCUGAUGCCAUCGAGCCAAGAAAAGUUUCUAAGUUUAGCUAAUGUUGCCCGUACCGUAAACCGACACAGGUGGGUGGGAUGAGUAUUCUAAGGCGCGUGGAAGAACUCUCUUUAAGGAACUCUGCAAAAUAGCACCGUAUCUUCGGUAUAAGGUGUGGUUCGCUUCGUAUUAGGAUUUACUCCGAAAGCGAAGAAACUUACAACAAAGAGUCCCUCCCGACUGUUUACCAAAAACACAGCACUCUGCUAACUCGUAAGAGGAUGUAUAGGGUGUGACGCCUGCCCGGUGCUCGAAGGUUAAUUGAUGGGGUUAGCAUUAGCGAAGCUCUUGAUCGAAGCCCGAGUAAACGGCGGCCGUAACUAUAACGGUCCUAAGGUAGCGAAAUUCCUUGUCGGUUAAAUACCGACCUGCAUGAAUGGCGUAACGAGAUGGGAGCUGUCUCAAAGAGGGAUCCAGUGAAAUUGUAGUGGAGGUGAAAAUUCCUCCUACCCGCGGCAAGACGGAAAGACCCCGUGGACCUUUACUACAGCUUGACACUGCUAUUUGGAUAAGAAUGUGCAGGAUAGGUGGGAGGCUUUGAGUAUAUGACGCCAGUUGUAUAUGAGCCAUUGUUGAGAUACCACUCUUUCUUAUUUGGGUAGCUAACCAGCUUGAGUUAUCCUCAAGUGGGACAAUGUCUGGUGGGUAGUUUGACUGGGGCGGUCGCCUCCCAAAUAAUAACGGAGGCUUACAAAGGUUGGCUCAGAACGGUUGGAAAUCGUUCGUAGAGUAUAAAGGUAUAAGCCAGCUUAACUGCAAGACAUACA